rnacentral:rRNA from 1 species
AACGAACGCUGGCGGCAUGCCUAACACAUGCAAGUCGAACGAGACCUUCGGGUCUUGUGGCGCACGGGUGCGUAACGCGUGGGAACCUGCCCUUAGGUUCGGUAUAACUCCUCGAAAGGGGUGCUAAUACCGGAUAAUGUCUUCGGACCAAAGAUUUAUCGCCUUUGGAUGGGCCCGCGUUGGAUUAGCUUGUUGGUAGGGUAAAAGCCUACCAAGGCGACGAUCCAUAGCUUGUCUGAGAGGAUGAUCAGCCACACUGGGACUGAGACACGGUCCAGACUCCUACGGGAGGCAGCAGUGGGGAAUAUUGGACAAUGGGCGAAAGCCUGAUCGAGCAAUGCCGCGUGAGUGAUGAAGGCAUUAGGGUUGUAAAGCUCUUUUACCCGGGAUGAUAAUGACAGUACCGGGAGAAUAAGCUCCGGCUAACUCCGUG